rnacentral:rRNA from 1 species
CUGGUACUGAGACACGGACCAGACUCCUACGGGAGGCAGCAGUGAGGAAUAUUGGACAAUGGGCGAGAGCCUGAUCCAGCCAUGCCGCGUGCAGGAAGACUGCCCUAUGGGUUGUAAACUGCUUUUAUACAGGAAGAAACCUUUUCACGUGUGAAAAGCUGACGGUACUGUAAGAAUAAGGAUCGGCUAACUCCGUGCCAGCAGCCGCGGUAAUACGGAGGAUCCAAGCGUUAUCCGGAAUCAUUGGGUUUAAGGGGUCCGUAGGUGGAUAAUUAAGUCAGGGGUGAAAGUUUGCAGCUCAACUGUAAAAUUGCCUUUGAUACUGGUUAUCUUGAAUUAUUGUGAAGUGGUUAGAAUAUGUAGUGUAGCGGUGAAAUGCAUAGAUAUUACAUAGAAUACCAAUUGCGAAGGCAGAUCACUAACAAUAUAUUGACACUGAUGGACGAAAGCGUGGGGAGCGAACAGGAUUAUAUACCCUGGCAUUCCACGCCGUAAACGAUGGUUACUAGCUGUUCGGUUUUCGGACUGAGUGGCUAAGCGAAAGUGAUAAGUAACCCACCUGGGGAGUACGUUCGCAAGAAUGAAACUCAAAGGAAUUGACGGGGGCCCGCACAAGCGGUGGAGCAUGUGGUUUAAUUCGAUGAUACGCGAGGAACCUUACCAGGGCUUAAAUGUAGAUUGCAUUAGGUGGAGAUACUUAUUUCUUCGGACUAUCUACAAGGUGCUGCAUGGUUGUCGUCAGCUCGUGCCGUGAGGUGUCAGGUUAAGUCCUAUAACGAGCGCAACCCCUGUUGUUAGUUGCCAGCAUGUAAAGAUGGGAACUCUAACAAGACUGCCAGUGCAUACUGUGAGGAAGGUGUGGAUGACGUCAAAUCAUCAC